UACUAUCUGGUGUCUAACAUGUGCGCAUUUUGAUACUUGGUUGAGAAAGAGAUUGGAAACCGCGACCGCCACACAGGCUACUCCUAUCGCAUAAGCAACAAAGGAUCUUUUAUAUAUUCACUUUUCCAUUAGACAGGACAAGCCACGCAAUGACAUUUGAAGGAAGUACUAAUAAGGCACUGGUUGGGACGAGAAACAGUCCAUUGAUUGCGAAGGAUCUUGCUACCCAUCACGCUUCGGAUUUUGGCACAUAAAACAGACAAACGACCUUUUCGUUCAACAGUUUGCGUAGAUGGUUCGUACCUACCAGUGGCUUCACUAGCAUCAGAAAAUAUGACAGCUGGGAGAAGCACCAAACUGAAUUGGAGGUCUUUAAAACAUACAAACAAUAUUUGAUUACGGCGGACCACACUUGGAGUCAUGUCGAACGAAACUCAGUGAAUAUACUAUUGCUAGCACUUGAUACGUGGCUCUUCAACGUGGGAGGUAGAAAAUUGACUUCUACGAGAAACUACUGGUUGCUGCCAGUUUUAAAUUUAUACACUCCAUUUUCAACCAGGUGUAACGUCAUAUACUAUUAAAUGUUUAAAAAUGCUUACUCUGUGAAAACCGCACACGGUGUAAAAUAAAUAAAUAUUA